rnacentral:rRNA from 1 species
GACGAACGCUGGCGGCGUGCUUAAUACAUGCAAGUCGAACGGACAGGCCCUGCUCUUGUGGGGUGCUCGAGUGCCGAACGGGUGAGUAACACGUGAGUAACCUGCCCUUGACUUUGGGAUAACUUCAGGAAACUGGGGCUAUUACCGGAUAGGAGCUCCUGCUGCAUGGUGGGGGAUGGAAAGUUUCGGCGGUUGGGGCUGGACUCGCGGCUUAUCAGCUUGAUGGUCGAGUAGUGGCUUACCAAGGGUUUGACGGAUAGCCGGCCUGAGAGGGUGACCGGCGACAAUGGGACUGCGGGACGGAGCAGUCGCCUACGGGAGGCAGCAGUGGGGAAUAUUGCACAAUGAGCGGGAGCGUGAGGCAACGGCGCCGGGUGCGGGAUGACCGCCUACGGGGUGAAAACCGCUUUGGCCUGAAACGAAGCCUGAUUGACGGUAAUGGGUAAAGAAGCACCGGCUAACUACGUG